UCAUGCAGCCUUUGUCUUUCCAUGAUUGGCUUGGUUCACUUAGCUCAAUACCAUCGAGCUUCCUCCGUGUUGGUGCCUAUUGCUAGACUUCCUUUUUCUUUUUAAAGCUGAACCAUAUUCCACUGUGUGCAUCUACCAGUUUCUUUAUCCACUCACCUGUCAAGGGAUUUUUAAGUUGUUCCCACAUCUUGGCUAUUGUAUCUAGUGCUGCAACAUGGGAGUGUUAUCUCUUUGAAAUCCUGAUUCUCUUGGAUAAAUGCCCAGAAAUACGAUUGCUGGAUCUAAGACUCUGCAGACACAUCUACAAAGGCAGACGGUCUGGAUGUCUCUCAUCUGUGCUCCUGAGGUGCCCUGUGUCUACCUCCAUGAUAGCGAUUCUAGGUUUAUGCUCAUCAGUUUAUUUAUCUGCCUCACUCGAAAUUCAGCAAACCACAGCCCACUGGCUCACCACCUAUCAUUGGACGUCAGAUCUUAAUAGAAGACGAGAAGAGUAAGUCAUGGAGAUGGGAAGAAACAUGGCCAAGACCACGAUGGCUUGUCAGUAGUGAAGCUGGAGCAAUCGAUGGAGAUGCAGUCUUAAGGCAUCCUAGCACCUGGAAGGUCAAACGGACAAAUGACAGGAAGAUGAUGAGGUCGUAGAGAGCCAUAAUCAUACCUAAAAAGUUCCUAUAAACACAACAGGCUCAUUUCAAAGGACAUUCAUUACCUCAACCAAUUCCAUUUUGACACACAGACCUGCCAGUGGGAACAUGCUGCCAAUUUUCUCUCCGAGAAAACACCUGUGUCCUUUAAAAACUCCAAAACAACUCCGGGGGAAGUAAA